rnacentral:lncRNA from 1 species
AUGCUCAUCUUUCACUCCUCGCUAAAGAAAAAUGGUAUUAUUUUAGAAGAUAGGCUCCCGGAAAAUCCCACGAGGGUUAAUACUGAUCUCAUCCCCGUGAGGAUCCCUGUAAAACCUCUACAUUUACAGGAUGGAAAUUGGGAUUGCCUGGCUGAGUACCAUUGCCCUGACCUGCCAGCACUGGAUGGAGAAUCAGGCCAGGGGUUUGGAGACUUUCCAUCUGCAGGCUGGAGUGUAUGGCUGGCUAUACACUGGAAGCCUGGGAUAAGAGCAAAGCGCCCCCUGGGAGAUGUGAUGUUUCCGGACUGCUAAUGUCACAGCAUGACCUGUUAAUAACCUGCGAGAGACUUCCUCCAAUCCGCAGCCUCCCUCUUCCCCGAGGACCGAGCAGCUGCAGUCACAUGGAUCGAAUGCCUUCCUUGUAUGCGGUUCAUUGAGAAAAAUUCAAGCAUGUGGCCUGAGGUUCCCCUGAUGACUGUCUGGGGAUGAUGAUUUCUACCAUCUGUUCUGGCUGCCUGCAGCUCCCGGAAACACCGAGGUGUAUGUUGCUUCUGGCCAUACGUGGGAUUCUUAAUGAAACCUCAGCUGCUGCCCAACUGUCUGUGAAUAUCAGAUGUGUUUGAAUUAUCUUUCCGCCAAGAGGGGAAGGAGAAGCACUUUGUUUAACUCUUUAAUCUGAACCACUACACAGUGCGUGCAUAAUCACAGGGUACAAAGCCACAGAGUUAUUAGCAUCUGCAUCGCGAUGGCAGCUGUAGUAUUUGCACGUGUGUCAGCUCUGUCCUGUUUGAAAUGCCCAAGCUGGUUGUUUCCAGGCUAAAUAUACAGCCUUGGGGUAAAUUCAUCCUACUGUAACUCACUUGGAAGCGCUGUAAUUAUAGCAGAGAUUUAUUUGAUCCCUUCACUUCUGAUUUGUGUUAGGACAAAUUUCAGCCAUAUAAAUUGUAUACUGGUAUUUGACAAAGGCUGCUUAUCACACACAGUCAAGGAAUUGCAGCAGUUUCAAAGGUAUUUAUUGAGACAGAGGAAGUCACAUCAAAUUGAUAUAAUUCUUUGUAGAUGAAAGAGACUUCCAUGCCAAGAAAAACUUUAUAUCAAAUAGAUAGCAAUCACUUGUCCUUCAGGGUUUGAUUUUCUGUCUGUUAAUUUCCCUGUAAUUCAUCAUUUAGAACCUUUUCUUACAAUUUUCUGAAUAUCAGAUUUCAAUGGAAGUUGAGAGGCACCAAAUAACUAAAGAACCAGGUCUCAGUAGAAAGGUUUUGACGUUCUUGUUAGAAUUACCUACGCUUCACCCAUUGAUAUGCACAGUGUU